rnacentral:lncRNA from 1 species
CCUGUGUAACAUUAAUUGCUUUAAAAUGCAGGAUACAUUAUCCUAUGGGCACACGAUUGCAACUAUGUAAAAAUGUUGAAUUCCUGUGGAAGGUGGUAAAAAAUGAAGCAAAAUUGAGCAUGGGAUUACAGAGUGUUAGCCUCUCUGGGACAGUGUUUUUGAUCAUUGUUUUGGGGAAAUGUUUUCACGAUGUAAGCCUAUUUGACUCAGCCUGUUUGUGGAUGUAUUCUAAUAAGGUGGGGGGAGGAGGGCCAGGAAGGAGGAGACAGCCCUUGGAACACGCAGAGGCUUUAAAGGCCCCUGAAAUCGCAGUAUCUAGGCAGUGUACAUACACGGCUGGCCCUGUGUGCUAGGUUUGGUUUUCUUUUGUGGAUGGUGCAAUCUCUUUGAAUUAGAAUGACAUUGUUUCAUGCAAUGUGGUCUGCAUACCCAAGGACAGGCAAGAGCCAGGUUCCCCACCUGGGGCCCUGGGGCCUUUCAGCACCUGUGGACUCGCUGUCCAGAGUAAGGUGUGGAAAAACUAUUGCAAAAGACAGUUUAGAUCUUUCAAGCAGAGCCCUAACUUUUCCAGCAUCUCCAGUGCAAUGCAGGGUCCCAGCUACAUAUUUGCAUAGAAACAGCUUUGCCUCAAGCCAAGCACUGUAGGGAAGAGGCCAUGGAGGGAAGAGACUGGGCCCUCUCUGCCGACGCCUGGUUACCCUGGUCAACUAGGAGGGAAGCCGUUCUGGAUGCCGAGCGGCGCCCUGCACGGACCCCAGAUGGCAGGGCUCCUUCUGGAGCAGUGUAGGGCAAUGUGCAAGGCUGCUGCAUCUUGGAGCAGCUGCUCAGAGCUCUUAUUCACUCAUGAGAAGUCUUAGAAGCCUGGACCACUGUCCCAGUUGUUGGCCCCCUCGCAGGAGAGGAGGGAGAUGUCCCACACCCCCAUCUGUCUGUGGAGACCCUCUCCUAAUUUCUACUCCCGUCCCAAGACUGGUAAUUCUGUCAAAGUAUUACAGAAUUAAAGAAACUCAUUUACUCCUAAACUUACAUGGAAUUCUCACAUC